UGUCCGACUGGGCGCGGACGAUGACGUCGUAGGGUCCUGUCACGUCCUCGGCCUGGAUCACGCCGGGAAGCUUGCUGAUCGUCUCGGCGACGGUCGAC
rnacentral:tRNA from 1 species